rnacentral:rRNA from 1 species
UACGUAGGGGGCGAGCGUUGUCCGGAUUUAUUGGGCGUAAAGAGCGUGUAGGCGGCUAGGUAGGUCUGCUGUGAAAACUCGAGGCUCAACCUCGAGACGUCGGCGGAAACCAUCUGGCUAGAGUCCGGAAGAGGAGAGUGGAAUUCCUGGUGUAGCGGUGAAAUGCGCAGAUAUCAGGAAGAACACCCGUGGCGAAGGCGGCUACCUGGACCAGCACUGACACUGAGGCACGAAAGCGUGGGGAGCAAACAGG